rnacentral:rRNA from 1 species
UGCCAGCCGCCGCGGUAAUACGGAGAGUGCAAGCGUUGUUCGGAAUCAUUGGGCGUAAAGGGCGUCUAGGUGGCCCGCCAAGUCAGAUGUGAAAGCCCACGGCUUAACCGUGGAACUGCAUUUGAAACUGGCGAGCUCGAGUAUCAGAGGGGCUAGCGGAAUUCCCGGUGUAGGGGUGAAAUCCGUAGAUAUCGGGAGGAACACCAGUGGCGAAGGCGGCUGGCUGGCUGAAUACUGACACUGAAGCGCGAAAGCAUGGGGAGCAAACAGGAUUAGAUA